GAGAAGCCACCUUCGGGUGGUGGACAGUGGCAGACGGGUGAGUGACGCGUGGGAACGUGCCUUUCGGUUCGGGACAACCCAGGGAAACUUGGGCUAAUACCGGAUACGCCCUUCGGGGGAAAGAUUCAUUGCCGAAAGAUCGGCCCGCGUCGGAUUAGCUGGUUGGUGGGGUAAUGGCCUACCAAGGCGACGAUCCGUAGCUGGUCUGAGAGGAUGACCAGCCACACUGGGACUGAGACACGGACCACACUCCUACGGGAGGCAGCAGUGGGGAAUAUUGGACAAUGGGCGAAAGCCUGAUCCAGCCAUGCCGCGUGGGUGAAGAAGGCCUUACGGUUGUAAACCCCUUUCAGCGGGGAAGAUAAUGACGGUACCCGCACAAGAAGUCCCGGCUAACUCCGUGCCAGCAGCCGCGGUAAUACAGAGGGGACUAGCGUUGUUCGGAAUUACUGGGCGUAAAGCGCCCGUAGGCGGAUUCGUAAGUCAGGGGUGAAAUCCCGAGGCUCAACCUCGGAACUGACUUUGAUACUGCAGAUCUCGAGUCCGGAAGACGUGAGUGGAAUUCCUAGUGUAUAGGUGAAAUUCGUAGAUGUUACGAAGAACACCAUUGGCGUAAGCUGCUCAUUGUUCCGGUACUGACACUGAGGUGCGAAACCGUGGGGAGACAACAGGUAUAGAUACUCUGGUAGUACACGCCGUGAACUGUGGGUGCUAGCCGUCCGGGACCAUGCUCAUCGGUGGCGCAGCAGACGCGUUAAGCACCCUGCUAGCGGAGUACGGUCGCACGAUAACACUCAGAUGGAUCUGACCGG
rnacentral:rRNA from 1 species